UACAGAGGUCCCAAGCGUUGUUCGGAUUCAUUGGGCGUAAAGGGUGCGUAGGCGGCGCGGUAAGUCGGGUGUGAAAUCUCGGGGCUUAACUCCGAAACUGCAUUCGAUACUGCCGUGCUUGAGGACUGGAGAGGAGACUGGAAUUUACGGUGUAGCGGUGAAAUGCGUAGAUAUCGUAAGGAAGACCAGUGGCGAAGGCGGGUCUCUGGACAGUUCCUGACGCUGAGGCACGAAGGCCAGGGGAGCAGACGGG
rnacentral:rRNA from 1 species